CAGGAGAAACCGUAUCAGAUUCUCAUCACAGGACGGCAGUGCUCCUGAGGGAAACGGGAUGAGGCUAGCACUUCAGGAAUGACAGAAGGUCAACGCGACUGUACCCCAGAGAAGGCCGCGGUGUGCAGGUUGCUGCCUAUACAUCCCAGCGAGCUCUGCAUUCUCGACAUCCUACGUUCUCUUAUGACACCAGACCCUCUUGCUCUAUGCUGGACUACAUGCUUCUCGAAUUUUUCCAGCUCUCAAGAAAGACUCUGCACACAACACUGUGUCAGUGAAGGAGCACCCCAUAUGGCAGGAGGAGGCG